UAGUAACUGCGAGUGAAGCGGGAAAAGCUCAAAUUUAAAAUCUGGCGGCUUUUGGCUGUCCGAGUUGUAGUCUGGAGAAGUGCUUUCCGCGCUGGACCGUGUACAAGUCUCUUGGAACAGAGCGUCAUAGAGGGUGAGAAUCCCGUCUUUGACACGGACUACCAGUGCUUUGUGAUGCGCUCUCAAAGAGUCGAGUUGUUUGGGAAUGCAGCUCAAAAUGGGUGGUAAAUUCCAUCUAAAGCUAAAUAUUGGCGAGAGACCGAUAGCGAACAAGUACCGUGAGGGAAAGAUGAAAAGCACUUUGGAAAGAGAGUUAAACAGUACGUGAAAUUGCUGAAAGGGAAACGCUUGAAGUCAGUCGCGUUGUCCAGAACUCAGCCUUGCUUUUGCUUGGUGCACUUUCUGGUUGAUGGGCCAGCAUCAAUUUUGAUUGUUGGAUAAAGGCUGGGGGAAUGUGGCACCUUCGGGUGUGUUAUAGCCCUCGGUCACAUACAACAGUUGGGAUUGAGGAUCUCAGCACGCCUUUAUGGUCGGGGUUCGCCCACGUUCGUGCUUAGGAUGCUGGCAUAAUGGCUUUAAACGACCCGUCUUGAAACACGGACCAAGGAGUCUAACAUGCCUGCGAGUGUUUGGGUGGAAAACCCGAGCGCGUAAUGAAAGUGAAAGUUGAGAUCCCUGUCAUGGGGAGCAUCGACGCCCGGACCUGACCUUCUGUGACGGCUCCGCGGUAGAGCAUGUAUGUUGGGACCCGAAAGAUGGUGAACUAUGCCUGAAUAGGGUGAAGCCAGAGGAAACUCUGGUGGAGGCUCGUAGCGAUUCUGACGUGCAAAUCGAUCGUCAAAUUUGGGUAUAGGGGCGAAAGACUAAUCGAACCAUC
rnacentral:rRNA from 1 species